AGAUAUAUAGUUGAAUCACUAAAAUACAAUCUCAUCUAUGCAUCUUACUAUUAUUGGCUACCAACUGAACUGAAACUAUCAAUAUGAUAAAAAAAAACAAGUCAGAGGGGGCACUUUCAACCAUAAACAGGAACAUGAGAGAGCAGGAGCAUAGGAUGAUCAGAAAUAGUACAUCAGUAAGGUGAGAUACUAAUCAAGGCUUCAAAGUGAUCCUUAUCAAGAAGAAA
rnacentral:lncRNA from 1 species